rnacentral:rRNA from 1 species
CUACGGAGGGUGCAAGCGUUAAUCGGAAUUACUGGGCGUAAAGCGUACGUAGGCGGUUGGUUAAGUUAGAUGUGAAAGCCCCGGGCUUAACCUGGGAACUGCAUUUAAAACUGGCGAACUAGAGUUGAGUAGAGGGGAGUGGAAUUUCAGGUGUAGCGGUGAAAUGCGUAGAGAUCUAAAGGAACACCAGUGGCGAAGGCGACUCCCUGGACUCGAACUGACGCUGAGGUACGAAAGCGUGGGUAGCAAACGGGAUUAGAAACCCGAGUAGUCC